GCGGGUAUAACUCAGUGGCAGACUGCACGCCUAGCAUGCGUGAGGUCCUGGGUUCAAUCCCCAGUACCCCCA
rnacentral:tRNA from 1 species